rnacentral:lncRNA from 1 species
CACUGCAAUGCGACAACAAAAACAAAUGCAUUCAUCAGUUGAGCUUGGGUCAUUAAUUGUCCUUUGCCUUAAUUCUGUGAAAUUUAAUUUUAAAUUUGAGUGGUUAAAAUGUAGGAAGAACCUUUUGCAGUUAGUGCUGGGGCUGAUCUUGAAAGGGCUGUGCACCCCACACAUGCCUGGGAGUUUGUUCGUAAGGUCAUAGUUGAUGCCAGAAAUGCUGGCAGCUAAUGCUUUGACGCAGUUGCAAGCUGAUUGGCGCUCUGGAGUUGAUUGGGCAGCCUCGUUGAGAGAUCUGAUCCCAUUGCAGCAAGAUGCAGGCACGCCACCAGCACCGUUGUUUCUCACGUAAGGAAUGCAGGGUGCCAAGGCUGAUAUGGCUUGGCCACAACUUAUGGCCCCUUCAGCCAGGGGUGCACCCACAACCAAGCACAAGACCACACCACAUGCAAGCUUGAGGGCCACAGUGCUGGCCAUAUGAUUCACUAAUUAGAAGAAAUCAAACAAUUUUAUAUAACUUGUAAGGAAAAUUGAUUGUUGUGUGCUUAGGGGUUGAGGGGUUUUAUAGCCAAAAGUUCAGUGAAUUGGGAUAUGACAAGAAUUAAGAAAUUAAUUGCAUACCAAUACAACACGUUAGGAAUUGCUAAAUGUGGCUCAAUUCAAUACAAAGCUUUUUUU